rnacentral:rRNA from 1 species
GCUGGCGGCGUGCCUAACACAUGCAAGUCGAGCGAACUGCCUGGGGCAACUCAGGCGGGGAGCGGCGGACGGGUGAGUAACACGUGGGUAACCUACCCAGGGGCCUGGGACAACCCUUCGAAAGGGGGGCUAAUACCGGGUACGCUCCUCCGGGCGCAAGCCGGGGGGAGGAGAGGGCAGCGGCAACGCAGUCGCCCCUGGACGGGCCCGCGGCCCAUUAGCUAGUUGGCGGGGUAACGGCCCACCAAGGCGAUGAUGGGUAGCCGGUCUGAGAGGAUGGCCGGCCACACGGGGACUGAGAGACGGCCCCGACUCCUACGGGAGGCAGCAGUGGGGAAUCUUCCGCAAUGGGCGCAAGCCUGACGGAGCAACGCCGCGUGGGGGACGAAGGCCUUCGGGUUGUAAACCCCUGUCAGUGGGAACGAGGGGCGGGGCGGUGAAUAGUCGCUCUGCUUGACGGUACCCGCAGAGGAAGCCACGGCCAACUCCGUGCCAGCAGCCGCGGUAAUACGGAGGUGGCGAGCGUUGUUCGGAAUUACUGGGCGUAAAGGGCGCGUA